rnacentral:lncRNA from 1 species
UGGGUAUCUCCGAAUCUAUUGGGUAUGGAGAUGGAUAUCUCUUUUCUUAUCGGAUUGGAUAUUGGGUAAGAUUUGGAUAUAAGAUAUUAAGUUCGGAUUUGGAGAUGGAUAGUAUAAUAUUUUAUCCAAAUCCUGUCCGUUGCCAUCUCUAAAUUUUAAUAGAGCAAAGCUUAGAUUAGCAUGCUGCAAUAUGUUGUACAUUUUCGACAUUAUGAAGGUGCAGCGCACAAU